GGUCAAGUUAUUAAGGGUGCAGGGCGGAUGCCUUGGCACUAGGAGCCGAUGAAGGACGUGAUAAGCUGCGAUAAGCUUCGGGGAGUUGCACGUAAACUUUGAUCCGAAGAUUUCCGAAUGAGGAAACUCACUUAGAGUAAUGUCUAAGUAUCAUUAAGUGAAUACAUAGCUUAAUGAGGGGAACUCAGGGAACUGAAACAUCUAAGUACCUGAAGGAA
rnacentral:rRNA from 1 species